UCAAACACGUAAACAAACAUGCUCGGCACAGCGCGGUUCUAGUAGUGGCAAAAUAGCUUCCGGUGUUUACUUUUCACUUCGAGCCAUUUGAAAUGAGUGCACCAGCAUUGUGCAGGACAACGAAACAAUUUUGAGAAGAAUCGACAACAGAGAGAGGGCGCAGACAAGCUGGAGAAGAACCCAGAACAGCACCUGGAGGAGCAAGACACAGGCCACAUGCUCGAGUGAGAAAAACGGGACUAAUCUACGGAAAAUAGAAAAAGAAGUCCUCGCAAUAUUUCGUCGGGAACUUCUCACCGGCACCUCUUCUGUCUGAACGUAGCUGACCCUCUGACAAACGGACCCAAUUUUCCCUUUCCAAUUUACGUGGGAUGAGGACAGCACUGCGCAUUAAAGAAGAGGCGAGAGAUUCUUGUGACUUCGAGUCAUCACAUGCCAGGCCCUUUGGAAUCACAACUCCAAGAAAAUGCAGUUAUCUCUGGAGUUCCGCAAUCAGCCCGUGAGAGUGAAAUCGGAACCACCUGAUGUUGCAUGCCUGCCACAACGGGGCCAGGUACAUCAACAGCACUGCAGCGAACAUCCUUCAGGAGGUGAUGC